rnacentral:lncRNA from 1 species
CUCCCACUCCCACCCCGGGGGACCAAUUUCUGAAGUCAUCUUCCCCCCACUUAUUACACUGCAACCUAGUCUCCCUUGUCUUUUUUGGUCCAUCUUUGGAUUUAUUUCCCUGAAGUGGGUGGGCAGGAAUGAAGCAGACUAGAGGUGCUUCCAGAUCUGUUCCGCCCUUCAUCAGUGUCCACCCUUCCCCUCUGAACCAGUCCAAGACUGCGACAUUUGUGUCAGAAGUCCCUUUGGCCCCUUUCCUGCUCCUGAAUCCCUGGAGUGGUAUUUGGAGGUGGGAGGAGGGGUAAGGUCCGAAGUGGAAAGUCUGACGCUGAGUCCAGGCCCCCAGCCCCACUCAGACUGGCUGAGCUCAUCUCUCCAAGCAACCGCAGCUGGACAUUUUCCAUGUGAUCACCUCAGGGAGGGGGGCUGGGUUCCAGAAACCCAGACAGAGUUGACUGAGUAUCACAGCUUAGGAACAGAGCACCCUCAGGUGCCUCCUCUCCGCCUUCUCCUGUGUUUUGCAUGGGAAAGCCCUGGGGGAGUAGCAAGGAAUGGAGAAACAGACCUGGAGAAGGGCCAAAGCUGGAAUAUAUUUUGGGCCCAAGUUGACCCAGGUUUCUACAUCUUUCCCAUGUUCACCAUUUGUGCUGGCCAGGCUGGGAAAAGAUCCUGUGUGAUGUGAAUGUGCCUGUGAGAUACUGGAGGGCCAGAGAAAGCAAGCUUGAAACAGAGAGGAACGGGUCACUUUGGUGGAGGAAAUUGGGCCACCAAGCAGCCCUAUGGAGAGGCCAAUGUGGAGAGAAACUGAGGCCUUCCACCAAAAGCCAGCACCAACUUGCUAUCCAUAGUCUUAUUCUGUUGCCCAGGCUGGAGUGAAGUGGCGCGAUCUCGGCCCACUGCAACCUUCACCUCCCGAGUUCGAGCGAUUCUUGUGCCUCAGCCCCCGGAGUAGCUGGGACAAAAAUCUUUAACUGUGAUUAAAAACACAUAUAAAAUUUACCAUGUUAAUGAAUUUUAAGUAUACAGUUCAGUAGU